rnacentral:misc_RNA from 1 species
AACUGAUACUACCUGCGGGAACCUGCGGAAGGAUCAUUACAGAGUUGAAAAACUCCCAAACCCUUGUGAACAUACCUAACGUUGCUUCGGCGGUGCGGCCCUAGGCCGCUGCCUCCCUGUGAGGCGCCCGCCGGAGGUUUACAAACUCUAUGUAUUAUAUUGUCUUCUCUGAGUUGUCUUUUAAAUAAGUCAAAACUUUUAACAACGGAUCUCU